rnacentral:rRNA from 1 species
AUUGAACGCUGGCGGCAGGCUUAACACAUGCAAGUCGAGCGGAGAUGAGGUGCUUGCACCUUAUCUUAGCGGCGGACGGGUGAGUAAUGCUUAGGAAUCUGCCUAUUAGUGGGGGACAACAUUCCGAAAGGAAUGCUAAUACCGCAUACGUCCUACGGGAGAAAGCAGGGGAUCUUCGGACCUUGCGCUAAUAGAUGAGCCUAAGCCGGAUUAGCUAGUUGGUGGGGUAAAGGCCUACCAAGGCGACGAUCUGUAGCGGGUCUGAGAGGAUGAUCAGCCACACUGGGACUGAGACACGGCCCAGACUCCUACGGGAGGCAGCAGUGGGGAAUAUUGGACAAUGGGGGGAACCCUGAUCCAGCCAUGCCGCGUGUGUGAAGAAGGCCUUAUGGUUGUAAAGCACUUUAAGCGAGGAGGAGGCUACUGAGACUAAUACUCUUGGAUAGUGGACGUUACUCGCAGAAUAAGCACCGGCUAACUCUGUGCCAGCAGCCGCGGUAA